UACGGAGGGUGCAAGCGUUAAUCGGAAUUACUGGGCGUAAAGCGUGCGCAGGCGGUUUGUUAAGUCUGCUGUGAAAUCCCCGAGCUCAACUUGGGAAUUGCAGUGGAUACUGGCAGGCUGGAGUAUGGUAGAGGAAGGUGGAAUUCCCGGUGUAGCAGUGAAAUGCGUAGAGAUCGGGAGGAACACCAGUGGCGAAGGCGGCCUUCUGGACCAAUACUGACGCUGAGGCGCGAAAGCUAGGGGAGCAAACAGG
rnacentral:rRNA from 1 species